rnacentral:lncRNA from 1 species
GGGCAUAAGAGUCUUUUGCCACAUAAUGAAAAGUGUAUUUUUGAAAAUGUCUCUUUAGUGGUGGUAAAAAUGAAAAGUGGUACCAUAAAAGUGGUAAACAUGUAAUUUCCUCACCUCUAAGAUUUUUAUAUUAUUUAUUAAUAAUGAAUAUAGUGUACAAAUGAAUUUUAAAAAUUUGUAAUACAUACAAAAUUUCAAUGAAAACAUAAAUAAUAAUUUAAAAUUAUAAUUAUAAUUCUUUAAUUAAUAAUACAUGUAUUAAUAAGUAAUUAUAAAAUCUCUAUGCCCGUACAUACGGGCGAAACACCUAGUUUAGAAUAGAAACUAAAGUAGGAUGAGCAAAACUUAGUUCAAACUGAAGCAAAAAAUAAAAAAGAAAAAAAUAAUAAAGUUGGAGAUGGUCUUAGUCAAUACAAGUAUAUAUGCAUUAUAAUUUAUCAUCUAAAAUACUUAUAAUGUCAAAAUAUCAAAAAUUAGAUAGCUAUACUUUUAAUUAAUAAAAUAAAAGGAAAUUUUCUCAAAGAUAUUUUUAAGUUUUUAUCACAAAAAUAGACUUCAAAAACUAAAAUGACAAAAUAACACUUUUUAUUUUGAAUUUUUUAUUUUAAAAAUUUUAUUUUUUUUUUUGUUUUUCUAAAUUUGAAAUCAUAUUUCCAAAACUCCAUUUUUCAACUCUAAACUCUAAUGUCUAGAUUAAUUAACCUUAGGAGUAUAAAUGUAUAUUUACUUCUUUUGAUAAAACAUUCUAUUUUUGUCAUUUUUAUUUUAAGGUUUAUAUUUGUGAUUUUUUUUGGUCUAUGGAAUUUCUCUAAAAUAAAUAUUAAAAUUUAGGUAAUAUUCAUAUUAUUUGAUCAUACGAUGAAUCAAAUAUAUUUAGGCUUGCAUGGGCUUUUUUU